ensembl:lncRNA
GUUUGACUACCUACUCUUUUCACUUGAUCCUGUAAAUCCUGAUGAGUUUACACCAAUAAUGAUCCAAUCUUUUGCCAGUACAGUAGCCCCCUGUUCCUUGGAUACCUGAUGGAUACAUGAUGGGUCUAUUCCUUGGAUACCUGAUGGGCAGGUAGCAGAUACAGCAGGGAUACUCUGGACAAAAGGAUGAUUCGUGUCCCAGGCAAGAUGUGCGAGAUUUCAUCACACUGAUUACAGUUGUGCACACAUUAAAAUUUAGGAGUCACUCAUUUCUGAGAUUUCCCAUUUAGUGCUUUUGGACUGGCUGACCCCAGAUAAGUGAAAGUGUGCAAAGUGAAACCUCAGGUAAGAAGGGGCUGUUGUAACUUGUUUGUGAUGACCAUAUAACCCACUCCUGUAUAAACCAAGCUAAUAAAUUUGUUCAGGGAAGUGGGUGAACUGGUGAUCAAAUGGGUCUUGCUCCAAGAAUGCAAGAGUGGUUAAAUAUUCAGAAGUCAACCACUGUCAAUCACAUAUAGGUGAUUUGGUAUGCAGAAAAGUGACAGAAUUAAUGUCCAUUUAUAAUCUUAGCAAAUGUGGAUAGAAAGGAACUUCCUUAAUUGGACAGAGUAACUUAAACUAUAACAAACAGUAUGCUUAAUGGUGAAAUAGUGAAAGUUUUCUCCUACGAUAUUAAGUCAAGGAUAUCUUCUGUCACAGAUUUUAUGCAACACUGUACGGAAGGACUUAGCCAGGGGAAUGGAUGGAUGGAUAUAUAUGGAUUGGAAAAGAAGUAAAACUUUAUUUGCAGAGACAUGAACUAUAGAAUACUGUAGAGCAAUGAGAAUGAUGAACUGUAACCCCAUGCAGUAGCGGCUGAAUUUCACCAUGCUGAUGAAGGACCACAGACACAACCAAGCCUACUGUGUGGUUCUGUGUAGAGCAUAUGGACGGGCAAAACUUGUCUAUGCAAUUAGGAAUUGAUACAGCAUUUACCCUUGGCCAGUGCUUACAAGGAAUAUUUAUCUGGUGCUGGUAAUAAUCUAUUUUGAAAUUGGGUGCUGAAUAUGUUUUGAGCUGUAUUCUUAAAAUGUAUUUUUUCUGCAUGUAUAUUACCUUUGAUAAAAGUUUUUUAAAAUCAAAUGUCUAACUUGCUCAGCACUCAGCAUAUUUUUCUGGGUACAAUAUAUGUGAAUAUGCUAUGUAACAGCAAUUAAAUGGUAGAUUUUUCAUAACUGCAAUGAUAUAUACUCUUCAUAGUAGUUUAAUGGCAACUACUAUGAUUUCCUACACUAUGUCGUUAAAGGUGACCAUUAUGUAUAUUUUAAGUAAAAUAUUUGAAAAGGUUAAGGCUCAUUACAUAGUUUGUCAUCCUACACUCUUGCAUAUGUAAAUGGGUCUGGCACAUAGUGGUUUUGAGCUUCCUCUUUAAUAAAAAAAGCUAACAUGUAAACU